GCAUUUUUAAUUUUGUUAGGUCAUUAAUUUCAUUCAUUAUUUUAUUUUAAUUAAGUAGACUGAAUUUGCAUUGUUAAGAUUGUUGUAGCAAGUCCUGUAACAUCAAUCCCUGUGGAGACGAUCUGGAUAUUCAUCAUUAUAUUAUUUAUUGUGUACACUUGCACACUGACACCUAUAGCAAUACACAUCAACAGUUAGCAUAAAGAGGACACAAAAUUCUUGUUUUAUUCAUUUAAACUUUUCCAAUAAAAUUUUUAUUAUUUAAAAACCUAGUUUCUCUUAUCUAUCAACCUUUUACAUUUGCGCAUCAUCACUGAAGGCUGACAAAAUAUUGACAAAAUGGACUAUAAUAUUGUGUGAUGUGGUGUAUGUGGUGUAAUAGUGUUAAUUACUUAUUUUGAUUUUUUCUCCAACAUUGCAUACAGCUAUAGUUCAUUUUUUACCAUUUUGUUUAAGUUUUUUCUCCAAAUAUCAAUGUUCAAUGACAAAAUAACCAAUCAAGCAUAGUUUAAUAUACAUGAUAAAUAGAAAAAGGUGGACCAAAACUCUUAUUCCUUUACAUCAAAGUACAAAUUUAUCCAACCCGAGCCGCACAAAUAAUCUGCUUCGCUUAAUAACUGCAGGCUGCCACCCGCCAAAUUUCUAACAAACAACAACCACAUCAACCUAUCCAUUCUUCUCAUCAUUAGAAAAGAGUAGUGCUGACAAAUCUUCCAUAGUUACUUUGUUGAUUUGUUUAGAUCUACAUCUUGAUCUAUCCUUUCAAGCUUUGACUCAAAAGCCUACAAAAAAUCACGGACCAACUUUUCAAGUAGUCGAUCGCUCGUUAACUCCAUCCUGUUGUUUACAUUAGCGACGUGAUGUCACAAAGCUAUGGUCGUUACCGUGAGAGUUCACCACUAGCAGCACUACUAGAGCCACCAUCAAUCCCUCUUUAUCAAACCACCAACCCAACAGCUCAUAGUCGCCAACAAAAAAGAGGUGUUUCUCUGGUCAGAGAGGGAAAAAUCCCUCUUCGGCUUUUUUUUUAAUUUAAUCUCCUAUUUAUUUUUAUGCUUUAAUUUUUCUAGUUUUCCUAUUUUAUCUUCUUUUCUUUAUGGCGGUUGUUUUUCUUAUUAUUUAUUGGGUGUUAUUUAUCUACUCCUCUUGAGAUCUUAUAUGGUCGUA
rnacentral:lncRNA from 1 species